rnacentral:rRNA from 1 species
AGGACGAACGCUGGCGGCGUGCUUAACACAUGCAAGUCGAGCGGAAAGGCCCUUCGGGGUACUCGAGCGGCGAACGGGUGAGUAACACGUGAGCAACCUGCCCCUGGCUCUGGGAUAGCCUCCGGAAACGGGGAUUAAUACCGGACAUGACCUGCUGCCGCAUGGUGGCGGGUGGAAAGUUUUUCGGCCAGGGUGGGGCUCGCGGCCUAUCAGCUUGUUGGGGGGGUGACGGCCCACCAAGGCGACGACGGGUAGCCGGCCUGAGAGGGCGACCGGCCACACUGGGACUGAGACACGGCCCAGACUCCUACGGGAGGCAGCAGUGGGGAAUAUUGCGCAAUGGGCGGAAGCCUGACGCAGCGACGCCGCGUGCGGGAUGGAAGGCCUUCGGGUUGUAAACCGCUUUCACCAGGGGCGAAGCGAGAGUGACGGUACCUGGGGAAGAAGGCGCCGGCUAACUACGCGCCAGCAGCCGC